UACGGGGGGAGCAAGCGUUGUUCGGAUUUACUGGGCGUAAAGCGUGCGCAGGCGGUUUUGUAAGUCUGUCGUGAAAGCCCCGGGCUCAACCUGGGAAUUGCGAUGGAGACUGCAAGGCUUGAAUCUGGCAGAGGGGGGUAGAAUUCCACGUGUAGCAGUGAAAUGCGUAGAGAUGUGGAGGAAUACCGAUGGCGAAGGCAGCCCCCUGGGAUAACACUGACGCUCAUGCACGAAAGCGUGGGGAGCAAACAGG
rnacentral:rRNA from 1 species